rnacentral:rRNA from 1 species
GACGAACGCUGGCGGCGUGCUUAACACAUGCAAGUCAAGGGGGCCCGCAAGGGCAACCGGCGAACGGGUGCGUAACACGUGAGCAACCUGCCGAUCCGCGGGGGAUAGCCGGGCUAACGCCCGGGUAAUACCGCAUACGUUUCCCGAGGGGAGUCCCUUGGGAAAGAAACCUCCGGGGCGGAUCGAGGGGCUCGCGGCCUAUCAGCUAGUUGGUGGGGUUAUGGCUUACCAAGGCGACGACGGGUAGCUGGUCUGAGAGGAUGGCCAGCCACAUUGG